rnacentral:ncRNA from 1 species
UCGGUUCCGGUUCACGCCAGGGGGUUCAUCCAGCCCCAUCAGUUUUGCCAUCGGCGACCCGGAGCC